rnacentral:rRNA from 1 species
GUGGGGAAUCUUCCGCAAUGGACGAAAGUCUGACGGAGCAACGCCGCGUGAGUGAAGAAGGUUUUCGGAUCGUAAAGCUCUUUCGUUAGGGACGAACGUGCUCUUUGUGAAUAAUGAGGAGUAAUGACGGUACCUAAAUAAGAAGCCACGGCUAACUACGUGCCAGCAGCCGCGGUAAUACGUAGGUGGCAAGCGUUGUCCGGAAUUAUUGGGCGUAAAGCGCGCGCAGGCGGGAUAUCAAGUCUGUCUUAAAAGUGCGAGGCUCAACCUCGUGAGGGGACAGAAACUGGUAUUCUUGAGUGUCGGAGAGGAAAGUGGAAUUCCAAGUGUAGCGGUGAAAUGCGGAGAGAUUUGGAAGAACACCAGUGGCGAAGGCGACUUUCUGGACGAUGUCUGACGCUGAGGCGCGAAAGCUAGGGGAGCGAACGGGAUUAGAUACCCUAGUAGUCC